rnacentral:lncRNA from 1 species
AAAUAACACUAGCAUUUUGCCAUAUUUGGAACUGCUACUGGGCCAGCUCUGUUUCCAGGCCUGCCUUUCAAUCUUUUCCUUGCUUCUGGCAUGAGUUACCAUCUCUCUUGAGAAAUCGGUUAUGCAUUUGAAAAUACAUGUAGCUAUACAUACUUUAAACAUAUCAUUUAGCAAGGAUGCUCCUUAUCAGACUGUCUUUCACGUUGCUGGGAACAGAGAACACGACAAUUACAGGUUCCUGCCAAUUAUAGAGGCAGUCCUAUUUCAAAAUGCCAUUAAGCAUCCUUCUGAGCUGCGGAAGGUCACAGGACCAGUCUUCAGCCAUGCCCAUUACAGUAGCAGUGACAGCACACCACUUUGCUCAUGAUACGGAUCAGGGUUAAUUUUCAAGUUUUGGAUGGCUCUCCCUCUUUGAGUUACCAUUUGUUUCUGCUUAUAACCUACUGAUCAUGCCUUUCAUACUAGUAAAUAUUGAAAAGGGAAAGCCUUAGGUGGCUUGUGAAGGCUCUGAUGCAAAUAUGUGUUGCUGAGAUGGGGAAGUGAAGGUGUUGGAUUAUGCAUGACUUUCACAGGUGUUCUUAUACCACAUU